GACGAACGCUGGCGGCGUGCUUAACACAUGCCAGUCGAACGGAAAGGCCCUGCUUUUGUGGGGUGCUCGAGUGGCGAACGGGUGAGUAACACGUGAGUAACCUGCCCUUGACUUUGGGAUAACUUCAGGAAACUGGGGCUAAUACCGGAUAGGAGCUCCUGCUGCAUGGUGGGGGUUGGAAAGUUUCGGCGGUUGGGGAUGGACUCGCGGCUUAUCAGCUUGUUGGUGGGGUAGUGGCUUACCAAGGCUUUGACGGGUAGCCGGCCUGAGAGGGUGACCGGCCACAUUGGGACUGAGAUAGGGCCCGGACUGCUACGGGAGGCAGCGGUGGGAGAUAUUGCACAAUGGGCGGAAGCCUGAUGCAGCAACGCCGGGUGCGGGAUGACGGCCUUCGGGUUGGAACCCGCUUUCGCCUGUGACGAAGCGUGAGUGACGGUAAUGGGUAAAGAAGCACCGGCUAACUACGUG
rnacentral:rRNA from 1 species